CUUCUCUUACUUCUCCAUAUAGAUUGCAGAAGAGACUUGCAUGCCAUUUCUAUUUAGCUUUUCACCUAGAUUGUAGAUGAAGUCAUCAGGUAUUCUUCAAACCCAUGAACCUGCUAACGUAUUUCCUUUUGAGGUGUGCAACCUCCUUUUGGGGAAAGGUGGAAGUGGCCAGGUAUUCCUAGGUCGCGUAGGCGGCUCCGACAAGUACGUUGCCAUCAAAAAACAGUAUAGCAGGUACAAUUCUAACGGGUCUACGGGGAGCCGCAUGCUCCCGAAAAGCUCAGGGCUUCCGCAGUCAUCGCAGCGGACAAGAAGCCACCUGUCUCAAGACACGCUCGUCUCGUCACUUGGUAGUCAUUUUGUCUGCAGAGGCGAAAGCGGGUUGCAGCAGCUAGAAGCUGGCGACUGUGUUCCUGUGUCUCAGCGAAGGGAACUGGAUCUCGGAGAGGAAAGCGUUUCGCAAACCGCAGCUCUUUCCCAGCAGCAUGAAAACUGCAGCGCAGAAAAUUCUUCUGGCGACGCCACAAGGCAGAGGGUGGUGCCACCAGUGAUGGACGAAGUAUCGGUUUUGAAUUACCUUGGGCCUCAUCCACAGAUUGUUCGGUUUCUGGGCAGCUACACAACGUCGAAGAACACAAGCUUUUUUACCAUGGAGUUGAUGGACAGUGACGUUGGACGGGAGCUGAGAGAAGGGAACGCAACCCUGCACGAGGAGGGCGUGUGUGCUGCCAUUGCGUACUCUGUCUUGCUCGCGCUAGAGGAGAUGCACUCUCACGCUGUAGCGCACCGAGACGUCAAGCCUGGCAAUAUUUUGCUGAAGCGUCUCACAGAACCAGAAGAAUGGGCGUGCAUUUACCUUCCAAGGGAUGACUUCAGGGCACGUCUACUGCCAAAAUCGUCGGCCGUGUCGGCUUUCGAUCCGACACUUUGCACGAGUAAGGAAGCAUCUAGUCACGAGGUUGCGCCGGCCAUCCGAAGCGCAAAUGACAAUGCAUCGUAUGUCAAAGCUGCACUGGGGGAUUUCAGCGCGGCUCACAGUACUCGCUGCGCCGACAACGUGGCCUUUUUCGACACUCGUGGAACACUUCACUACAAAUCCCCGGAGCAACUCAUGGGCAAGCGCAGUGUCGUCUCCGAGAACUUUGCUGCUGUUGACCUGUGGGGGCUAGGCUGCACCCUAUACGAGAUGGUCACCGGCACGCGACCGUUCCCGGGCAGUAGUGAGCUGCAGGUGCUCAUGAGCAUUUUAGAUGCCUUGGGGAGUGACAUUCAGUCGUUCCCGGUGGCGACCAAACACGCCGCACUCUUCGACGAAAUUCCCGCAUCGCCUGCAUUUGUGAACUUAUUGCAGCGCCUCCUCUGUCUCGAUCCGACGCGGCGCUGUACGGCGAAGGAGGCUCUGCGCCACUCGUUUUUAGCCUCCAUUCGCGACAGCGCCUUGCGCUGUGCCGAUGCGGAGCGCCAAAUCUCGACCGAUCGCCUGCCGUAUGUGAUCGGGAUCCCAUUGACGCUCAAGUACGCAUCUUUCACACACAUUCCCGAACUUCGCUUUAGUCGCAUUUCUCGGACCCCGUUGAAAGCAACGGAGUCAACUCCUUCAGAGCUAAGCGCGCCUCAGCAACCUCCUGCGAACGGCUGCCCUGCGCCUCCAUCUGCUUCAGACACUGAAAUCGCUGCCCUCACCGUUGUAGCCGAGCGCGAGGCCGCUGCCGAAACAAGAUCCAAGCAUCGAGACGUGAAUCACUGGAGCGAUGGAGCCACUACUACACUAUGGGGGCGUGAAGGAGAUUGCGAGGACCAAGAAGAAAAGGAGACACCGUCGAAGAAGCCGCCGCAGCAGCACUGCUCCGACACCACCGGGACUUCUUUCCUGAGCGAGAGUUCGUACCUGCACUGGAGCGAAAUUCGCCCCGCCACGCGGCCCUCCGCGCCUCCGCUGCUGAAGCCGCUUCAGCACAAGGAAAAUAGAGUACGGAGUAGCAGCGGUUGCAGAGCAGUGGCGUUCUUUGGCAACGCCGCCGUUGGCAGCACACCAUCCCCGUCCACGAGUGCAAAUGACCCACAGCAGCAGCCGCCAUCCCUUUCGGGAUCGAUGCAUCGAACCGUCGACGUUGCAAGCCGAAACACCGUCUCACGCGCCCUUAACAUCAGUGACUCAAGCGUAAAAGGUGUUCGAAACGAACGCAGUGCUUCGCACGUCGACUUUGACCUCAGCCCCGUCGCAGCUACUCAGCUUUUCAGCACAGAGACGGACACGAGUGCGUGCUUGGUGCCGCACCCGGCCGCCGCUUUCCUGCCGCGCCGCACGCAGCCAGUUCUACAGCUGGCAAGCGGCAGCACUUUUACGGCAAGCAACCUGCGAGCCAACUCGUCCUUUGAGCGCGAAAACCUUAUGGUAGGCCGGUGCGGCGGCAACGGAACAUCUACGUCAGCCGCCGUGGGCGUUGCAGGCCCAACGGGUGUCAUCCACGCAGGACGCUGCAGCACUCCGCGCCAGCACCACGGACAGCGCCCGACCGCCUUCUCGGGCCGCGCGCUUUGCUUUUCGGAAGAGACGGACCCCUUUACUCGCCGUAGCUGGGGCUCUAGUGCCGGCCAGCAGAGCUGCUUGAACUCACUCUUGACGUCCCCGGCUCCUGUGGGGCAGCGGGCCGUCGAAGAAUGCUCACCACAGCCGUCACCGAUUCGUCCCAUCGGCGUUGCCACAAGGUCGCCGUCGGGGUUGCCUGUUGCGGCAGACCGCAGCGGCUUGUUUUUGGACGACUCCGGCGUAGGUCUGGGGUGGAUCGGGAUGCCACCUACGACCUCGGCAGCGCAGGAGAGCAUCGGCGCCGGCGCCUGUGAAGCGGUUGCGGCGCUGAUGCCGGCACUGGCGCGUGAUGUAAGUAGAGGCUCAGAAGCAGGUGCAGCGGUGGCGCCAAUGCUUUACCCGGUACGCCUCCAGCCGUCGUGGAAUGCGAGCAGCACCACGGCGACCGGGAUUGUGCAGCCUUCAAACUCGCCGUGUGUACGCCGGUGUGUGCACCUCCUCGAGCCACCACCUGGCGGUUGUUCGCGCAGCCGUACCUGUUCCGCUGUAGCGCUGACGAUGGGCGUGACUACUGCCGCUGUAGCUGAGCGACCAGACGCAUCGUGCAGCAGCCAGCAACAGCAGCCAACGACCAGCCCCGCUUCCACUGGCCGCAGAGACGCGUCGAGUUCGCGUAUAAUGCCGCUGCCGAUUCCGCUCUCGGUGGCCACCGUCUGUCAGUCGGCGACGCAGUCGCUCUGCGCACCGACGCCACGAUCACGCACACCGACCAGCCGCGCGCUCCAUGAGACGCCACGCACGCAGCGCUUCUCUUGCCCUACGUCUGCGCUGCGGACGGGGUACGCUGGUCAUAAGAACGGCAACCAGCGGGGUAGCUCGCAGCCACAGGAUGCCCUCACGUCUUGUGUGGACGGUGGCGACGAUAUUCUCAGCGCCGCUCCGUUUUUGUGCAAUCAGGAUGUUAAUGCGUCCGUGACUCACCUGGCGCACAAAGUCUGCGCGAGCGUCGGCCUGACAGGAUCUGGUAGUGGCGCCGCACCGACUUUGCGCUGCGCGGCCGCGUCGCCGCUGGGCUCGCUGGUUGCGUGUACUCACUCUUCCCAGCGUCACUGCACCCCGUCGUCAAGCGACCCUGCACCGGAGAUCGCUGUGUCGAUCAACUGUGACGGCUGCAACCACCCCGCAGUGGCGAACGAGGCCUCCCCAACACCUAAUGUCACCGUUGUGCGUGCAUCGAGGGCGAUGCUUUCCACGGGAGGCCCACAUACGCCGCUGCCCGUGCAUGGCUCCGCAUCGCCUCUCUCGCAGCCUUGCGAUGCUCCCUUGCUUCAGUUGAGCUCUGCCAGCCUCGACAGCCACCGCCGGUCAGUGAAGGACCACGAGAGUGACCGCAUAGAGACGCCGCAAAGCAAACGGCGUGAGUCCAUGAAGCGAGCGCGCGAGGAGGCUAUGGACAGCGAAGACGUAGCCGCGGUGCGGCAGAGCGCGCGGGUUGUGUGACAUCCAGUGCCAUGUUCCCACCCACCUCCACACCCGCAGGGCUUCUGGAGGAUGCGUAUUGGACGACUCUGCUCCAAUGGCAGUGCUUCGAAUGGGGCUGACGGCUGACUUCCGCUCUAUGCGGAUGAGACGUCUGCCCCGACUCUCUAUCCCCUUCGCUUGUUGUGUGCUUGUAUUUGUGCUCCCCCGUACUUCAUGUGGGGAGGGCACACCGUGUCGAGCUCCCGUCGUGCUGUCUCCUUCCUUCCUUCUGUUUCAGUUUGCUCUUGCUGCGGUUUGCUUUUACUUCACCCUCUUCUCUCCCGUUAGAUGCACGCACGCAUACACGCACACAUACACACUUACAGACAGUGCAAAUUUUUUUUCGUUGUUGUUUCGAUACGCUGGCUUUCGCGGCGGCGGUUGGGUGAGGGAGGGAGGGCGGGCGCUUUGAGAGGGCGGCUCUGGCAGUGGAGCUCUUCAUCUGGCGUAUUUCCUCCGAGCGCAACGCCGACCCUACUCUGACUCUCCUCUUUCGUAUCACACUCUUUUCUCUAGACACCUGCACGCUCGUGCGUGGCUACGCAAGCGCCACUACUACUAGCGUCGCAGUAUUCAUUCACAUCUGCCAUUCCGUGUUCACGUCUCGCCGCCCUCGAUCGUUGUGUCACAUCGGCGCACACACGUGUGCACACGCACACGCACAUGCACACGCCGCAGGCCUCCAUCCUUCCUCUCCGUUCCCCUUCACCAAACAUACUGCACGCUCGUAGCCGCACGCUCUCCUCGUCCCAUGUGCUGCUCUCGCUCCCUCCGUCUCUCUCUCUCUUCGUGUGUGUGUGUGCUUGUUGUUCGCUUGUUUCCUUUCGCUCGCCCUUUACAGUACCUCCCACCCUCCCACCCUCCACUCCCCCCCCUCCACCCCCCCCUUCCCUUUUGUUUUGGAGCGGCGGUGGCGGCGGCUCGCUUUGUUCGUCUCCCCCCCCGCCCUCUUUCAUAGAUGGUGGCACACGUGCACGUUUUCGUUGCGCUUGCUUUUUUUUUUCGUGCCUCGUAGUCCUCGUCGCGCGGCCGAACUUGCUGCCCUUUUUCGUGCCACCCGGUCACAUCCCUCUCCUCCUCCUUUGCCUUACCGUGACCCCCCCCCACACACACACCCUUCCUCUCCCUCCUCUCCGUGUAUCCUCCUAUUGCGUUCUCCCUGCAUCACCGCCUGGUGCUGCUGUGGUCCAUGUGUGCUUCGCUGACACACACACACACACAUACAUAUAUAUAUAUAUGUAUACCACACGUACACACAGAGAGGCAGGCAGCUGCGAACGCCACAGUACAUAAACGGCGGGUAUGUACUUGUGUGUGAGUGUGUGUGUCGGUCACCCACCGGUUGUUCAGUUCUUCGGUAAAGUUCUCCGUCUUUCUACCUCUUGUAAUGUACGCCUCAAAAGGAGAGGAAACUCCCACCCAUACACUCCAUCCUUUACGUUAUCGGUCGCAUGUAACGAAUCUACGAGCGCAGGCGCGUUCCUUAGGGGGCUUUCUAUACUUGUCUACCCUCCCUCCUUCUGCCUCCCACUGGCCCAUCAUCCCUCCGUUCCCUUGGUGCCGCUUCCCCCUCCCCUCACCCGACUCUCCCUGAGCGAAUGUGCCCCCCCC
rnacentral:misc_RNA from 1 species